UACGAAGGGGGCUAGCGUUGUUCGGAAUCACUGGGCGUAAAGCGCACGCAGGCGGAUUGAUAAGUCGAGGGUGAAAUCCCGGGGCUCAACCUCGGAAUUGCCUUCGAUACUGUCUGUCUUGAGUCCGGGAGAGGUGUGUGGAAUUCCUAGUGUAGAGGUGAAAUUCGUAGAUAUUAGGAAGAACACCAGUGGCGAAGGCGGCUCACUGGCCCGGUACUGACGCUCAUGUGCGAAAGCGUGGGGAGCAAACAGG
rnacentral:rRNA from 1 species